UGGAGUAUAACAUUCUAAUUCUUGUGGUUGGACAUGAUAUGGAGUUUCACAUAUAUGAACAUAAGAAAGUUAUACCGAUUCAUUCUUUCUUAUUCCAAUUCCCCCACCCUUCCCUUCAUUCCCCUUUGUAUAAUCCAGUGAAUUUCUAUUUUUCUCACCCCCUGUUACAUGAUUUUAUUUUUUUUAGUUGUUGACAGAGCUUUUUUUUUUUGACAGUAAUAGGGAGAGAAAGAGAAUUUUUUUGAUAUUUAUUUUUUAGUUUUCGGCGGACACAACAUCUUUGUUUGUAUGUGGUGCUGAGGUUCGAACCCGGGCCGCACGCAUGCCAGGCGAGCGCACUACCGCUUGAGCCACAUCCCCAGCCCUGUUGACAGACCUUUAUUUUAUUUUUAUGUGGUGCUUAGAAUCGAACCCAGCGCCUCAUACAUGCCAGGCAAGUGCGCUACCACUAAACCACAGCCACAGCCCCUGUUAAUGAUUGUUGACACUAAAAUUUGUAGUGGAGAAGAACAAACAUUUGAGCCUUUUACCUUUUUGAGAAAUGAUGUAUUAGGGUUCUCAAGAGAAAUAGGGUAAUAUGAUGUGAAUAUAUAUCUAGACAGAUUUAUUAUAAGGAAUUUGCUCAUGAUAGUGUGGAGGCAGGGAAGUCUAAAAUUUGCAUUGUGGGUCAGCAGGCUGGAGACCCAAGAGAGCCAAUGUUUCAGAUAAAGUCUAAGGCCAUCGCUAAAGAAUUCCCCCUUAUUCUGAAAGAGUAUAUUUUGUUCUAUUAAGGCCUUCAACUUAUUGAUUAUGGCCCACCUACAUCACGGAGGGCAAUCUGAUGUACCCAAAGUUUACCAAAUUAAUAAAUAAAUGUUAAUCUCAUACAAAAAUAUACACUAAGUUGAUACAGUAAUCAUUACAAUUCUAAUCCUUUUCAAUACAGUAAUCAUUACAAUUCUAAACCUUUUCAACUUCGCAGCUCAACAUCUUAAAACCAUACCUAGAAUCCAAAUAGACAGUAAUAAGGUCAUACUGUUACAGUAGAGAGGCCGCUCAGAAAACACUCAAAGACCAAAUUUAAAACAAUUGGAGAGCUUUAAUACCUGGCCGGGGACUACUUCCCACAGAGGCUGAACGGGUCUUUGAGAGAACAGCCUCCAUCUGACUGGCUUGAAUAUUUAAGGGAGAAAACAUCCUAUGGAAUUUCACAGAUAGCAAGCAAGCAGACUACAGAGGCUGAAAAGGCAGCAGAGCAAGAGACAGACAACCACAUCCUGGGUUCGAGCACUGCUGUGGGCAUAUAUCCUGGGUUCGAGUACAUUUGUGGGGUACAAAGAACAGAAAAAACAAUCUUUUUUAAUUUAUAAGGAACAGCUUUCAUUUUGAUUUCUCAGAAAUAGUUCAUAUGAUAGAAAUGGAGUAGAAAUGGAGUCACUAUGGCUAUGCUUACUUGUACUUAUCUACAAUAGCUCCUAUAUUUAAUAAUUGUCUAAUUUAGCUAUACUUAUCUUGUAACUUAACCUAUAUUUAUCUGUCACUAUCUAUGACUAUAUUUAACCUAUGGGCACACACACUUACUUGUCAUCUUUUAUUGUCAAUGUCUUAUCACUAACAUCCUUAAAUUCUAUGUCUAUGUCCUACAUAGACAUACAUUGUUACUUCUUCUAUCCUACAACUACAGCAUACUAAGGUAACUUCAUUGUUAAUUCUAUAACACUUAUUUGUUUAUUAUCCUUUAUUUUAUUAAUCUAUACCUUUUCAUCCUAAUCUAUGAUUUAUUUCUUAUAAACUGUAUUGAUUAGCUCAGAUCAUAACAAUACUUUCAUGAUGACAACUGUCUUAUAUACAACACCUAUAACUGAAAACACAAACCCUUUUCCCAGAAAAGGAUGCAAAAAGUAUGUGGUUGAUGUGUAUUCUUUUUUAAUAAAAAUUCUUGAGGUGCUAGUGAUAAGACCCAGGUCUUAUACAUGCUAGGGAAGCAUUCUACCCCUGAACUAUAUCCCCAGGCCAUGUUUACUCUUCUUGAUAUCCUAUAAUUUAAAUUCUGUGAUAUAAAUUUAAUAUUUAAAUACUG
rnacentral:lncRNA from 1 species